UACAGAGGUCCCAAGCGUUGUUCGGAUUCACUGGGCGUAAAGGGUGCGUAGGCGGUUUGACAAGUCUGAUGUGAAAUCCCGCAGCUUAACUGCGGAACUGCAUUGGAAACUGUUUGACUAGAGGAAUGGAGGGGAGACUGGAAUACUUGGUGUAGCAGUGAAAUGCGUAGAUAUCAAGUGGAACACCAGUGCGAAGGCGAGUCUCUGGACAUUUCCUGACGCUGAGGCACGAAAGCCAGGGGAGCAAACGGG
rnacentral:rRNA from 1 species